AACGUACAAAUAAUUGAGUUCCGCCCACUCAGAUAAACCCCAGCUUCGCUCUGGGUUUUAUGGCUGUUGCAAACAAUGUUUUAUCUGCCUAUAAAGCCUGUCUCCCAUUGACAAAGAUGUGAACUUGGAAUUUUUGAUCUGGGUUAUGUGAUACAUUCCUGGCCAGGAAGGUGGUGCUCUCUCCUGUAACUUUCCACUGAUGCAAAUGAGGUCACAAGUGCCAGGAGGCAGCAGUGACAAGUCUGUGUGGGCAGAGACCCACGGGCCAAGGCCAGCCACAUGCUUUCUCUUCUGCAAGAAAUAUUUACACCAUCCUGUUGGCACAGGUCGGGGAGGUUGUGAGCUUUGUAGUUUGUGCCACAAAGGAGCCGAGACAGCCUCCAAGCCAUUCCUGUGGGGAUGUCUUUUCUUUCUUGUGCAGCUCAGGAGUCUGAGACCAGGGAGCUGCUGGGCAGGUGGCUGAUAGCGUUUCCCAUCCUUCCUGGAAAUCUCAGACAGCCAUGUGAGGCUACAGCAAGAAGGCAGCUGUCUGCAAGCCAGGAAGUGAGCCCUCACCAGAAGCCAAAUUGGCUGGCAACUUGAUCUUGGACUUCCCAGUUUCAAGAACUGUGAGAAAUAAGUUCCUGUGGUUUAAGUCACCCAGUCUAUGGUAUUUGUUAGGCAGUCUAAGCACACUAAGACAAUGACUUUGGGACUUCUACAGGACUGGUAUUCACAGUCAAGG